AGUCGCGUGGUGUAGUUGGUUAUCACGUAUGUCUCACACACAUAAGGUCCCGUGUUCGAACCACGGCGCGACUA